GAAAUCCUCGGGGGGCAGCAGUGGGGGAUAUUGGACAAUGGGGGAAACCCUGAUCCAGCGACGCCGCGUGAGUGAAGAAGUAUUUCGGUAUGUAAAGCUCUAUCAGCAGGGAAGAAAGAAAUGACGGUACCUGAGUAAGAAGCCCCGGCUAACUACGUGCCAGCAGCCGCGGUAAUACGUAGGGGGCAAGCGUUAUCCGGAAUUACUGGGUGUAAAGGGAGCGUAGACGGUAAUGCAAGUCUGGAGUGAAAGGCGGGGGCCCAACCCCCGGACUGCUCUGGAAACUGUGUAACUGGAGUGCAGGA
rnacentral:rRNA from 1 species